ACCAGCCCAAGCACACCAGUCCAAGAGAGUGCAAAAGGGUCCAAGAGAGACAAAAUGUUGGCUCACAUCAUCAUCACUGUUUUCGCAAUACUGUUGCGACCCACUGGGGAUGUGGUAAGACAGGGAGAUCUCAAACCCGGAGAUCACAUCUAUACUUAUCGGCUGCAUGGCCUAUACACCCACCAUGUUUAGUUAUUCAUCCUCCUCUUCUUAUUGUUCUUCUUUAGCAUGGAUAUUUUUAAAUGUGGCUCGACUAAAUUUUCCAUUUAUUAUCUUAUGUUGGCCCAAACAAUAAAAGUUGCAUAGCUUCAGAGAUAAAGCCUCUCCUCCAACGGUCCUCUGCCACCGUCGCACGUUCCAGCGGCUCCCCCAUUGCCGCCCCUCUCCUCAGCUGUCCAGGUGUUCGACGAAAUGCCAGAGAGAGAACCUGACUGAGCUGUGCUUCAUUUCUUUCUUUCUAGUCGCCGAUCCAUUUCCAGCUUCGCUGUUAUACUUCUCAGCAGUUCCUGCUUCGACCAUCUCCAUCUCCAGCGAAUCUCUAUCUUAGACUCUUCAUCUCUGCUUCGCUACUUUGUUGGUGACAACGAUCCAUCUCGCGGGACAUAGAUCCGACAACGGUGGUACGAACAUGGCAUGGGAAAGCAAGCGUCCCAAAGUCGUCGUCAUCGGGAAACAAGCUCGUCGCUGUUCCUCCCCCUGAGGCUUUAAUCGAGGGAAUCUACGUUGGAGAGGGUUAUGUGAUUCACUUAACACGAACAGGAGUUGAGGAGAUGAGUCUCCAUCACUUCCAGCAAGAAGGCAUGAACCUCUAUUCCCUCCGCUUAUAUGCAUAUGGGCAGCCACAACUUGGGUAUUGGCUGACUAGAUGGGGGACUUGCACCACCUUACCCGAAACCAAAUCGCCCCAGGAAGUCGUGAACAAGGCUCGCGAGCUUCAUGAGCACGGUAGUUUCGGCAAGUACGGCCCUCAUCAAUAACUACUGUGAGCAUUUCACCUUGUUUUGCUGGACCGGCACAUGGGCAAGCACACAGACAGCAUUGGCCAGUGCUUCUCUGCAGAAGAUCAGUGAAGUCAAAGAAUGGUUCCUGAAUUUUCUGCAUGCGAAGUAAGUUCAAGUGACUCGAAAUUCGACGAAUCCUUUUCCCUAUCUGUCUUAUUACUAGCAACUAUUUUCAUCUGUUUGAGAGUCAUUGUCUGUCAUCCAGCAGUAAAAGGAGUGUGAUUUUAGUUUUGUAUAUCCAGUUUUGGACUGGAAUGGGCAGCGAGAGACAUGCUUACGUACGUGGAGGAAGAACUGAGAUAAGAAAAUGUAAGUAAGCCGCAAAACUAUGUUCAUUAUUAUUUGAUGUGCCCGGAAAUAUGUAGGGACUUCUGUCUGUUGGUGCUCGGUCCUCUUAGUUGGACUAGCCAAAAGAAGGCAACAUCUAAUCCUGAAUGAACCUCUCGCAUUAAAA